UCGGCGGCUGUGUGUCACCCUCCGGAUGUGCUACGCCUUCACCACCUACAGUGAUGGUACUCCAACUGGAUUCCAGAGGGCAUUUUUGCAUUGUUUGGAGAGGCUGUUAAAAACGGCGCAGAUCAUCAACCCGGUUCUCAUGGAGCAGAUACGCCUGAAUGUGACCAACCUGCUGAUUGCUGCAAAUAGCUGCGCUUUGAAGCACAUACCACGGGAAGAGAAAUAC